rnacentral:misc_RNA from 1 species
AAAGCAGCCAAAUCUGGAGCCCAGCCAUGACCCCCGAUGCAGGAGAGUUGAUGGCGCUGCGCAAACGCCUUGCCGACGAGAUCACGCUGUUCUCAAAAGAUAAGCACAUGCUUUUGAAGUUGAUUGACGACCGCAUCGCAGCUUCCCAGCCAGAUAGAGAAGCGGUGGCGCGGGCGGUAGGCGAUGUUGUCGAACGAUGCGCAAAGAUUGCCGAACCUUGGCCCGGUUUCAUCUUGGACGACAGCAGCACUGACGCGGACAGAGCAGUCGUCGCCGUGCGCACCGAGAUUGCAACUAAAAUUCGAUCGCUAG